rnacentral:rRNA from 1 species
UCUUAGAGAUAGAGAAGUGCCUUCGGAAUGUAGAUACAGGUGGUGCAUGGCUGUCGUCAGCUCGUGUCGUGAGAUGUUGGGUUAAGUCCCGCAACGAGCGCAACCCUUAUUUUUAGUUACCAAUUCGUUGGGUUCUCUAGAAAGACUGCCGGUGACAAACCGGAGGAAGGUGAGGAUGACGUCAAGUCAGCAUGCCCCUUAUGUCCUGGGCUACACACGUGCUACAAUGGUUAAGACAAAGAGUCGCGAGCUNGCAAAAGUCAGCUAAUCUCAUAAACUUAGCCUAAGUUCAGAUUGUAGGCUGCAACUCGCCUGCAUGAAGUUGGAAUCGCUAGUAAUCGCUGGUCAGCCAUACAGC